CUCUGUUUUGGGCAUCUGUGUCUUGCUUUGCUUUCUCUUCCUUUUGCUUUUUCACUUCAGCUAACUGAUGGUAUAAUCUUAGAGCACUUUGGUGUAUAUG